rnacentral:rRNA from 1 species
UACGUAGGGUGCGAGCGUUAAUCGGAAUUACUGGGCGUAAAGCGUGCGCAGGCGGUUUUGUAAGCCAGAUGUGAAAUCCCCGGGCUUAACCUGGGAAUGGCAUUUGGGACUGCAAGGCUCGAGUGCGGCAGAGGAGACUGGAAUUCCUGGUGUAGCAGUGAAAUUCGUAGAUAUCGGGAGGAACACCAGUGGCGAAGGCGGCGACCUGGGCCAAUACUGACGCUGAGGUGCGAAAGCGUGGGGAGCAAACAGG